rnacentral:rRNA from 1 species
GAAAGACCACUCUAGUUAUUUUGUAAAACUAAAUUAAAUUUUUAAUGAUAAUCUAAGAUGGUUAGUUUGACUGGGGCGGUAGUCUCCAAAAAAGUAACGGAGACCUACAAAGGUAGGCUCAAAUUUAGAUAAUAAAUUUUCGAACGCAAUGGUAUAUGCCUGCUUGACUGUGAGACAUACAAGUCGAACAGAGACGAAAGUCGGUCAUAGUGAUCCUAUGAUUUUGAAUGGAAAAGUCAUAGCUUAAGGAAUAAAAGGUACUUUGGG